UUGGAGAGUUUUGAUCCUGGCUCAGGAUGAACGCCGGCGGUGUGCCUAAUACAUGCAAGUCGAGCGCAYUGGCCCAACUGAUAUGACGUGCUUGCACUGAAUUGACGUUGGAUUACCAGUGAGCGGCGGACGGGUGAGUAACACGUGGGCAACCUGCCCUGAAGUGGGGGAUAACAUCUGGAAACAGGUGCUAAUACCGCAUAACAACGAAAACCACAUGGUUUUCGUUUCAAAGAUGGUUUCGGCUAUCACUUCAGGAUGGGCCCGCGGUGCAUUAGCUAGUUGGUAAGGUAACGGCUUACCAAGGCAAUGAUGCAUAGCCGAGUUGAGAGACUGAUCGGCCACAAUGGAACUGAGACACGGUCCAUACUCCUACGGGAGGCAGCAGUAGGGAAUCUUCCACAAUGGGCGCAAGCCUGAUGGAGCAACACCGCGUGAGUGAAGAAGGGUUUCGGCUCGUAAAGCUCUGUUGUUGGAGAAGAACGUGCGUGAGAGUAACUGUUCACGCAGUGACGGUAUCCAACCAGAAAGUCACGGCUAACUACGUGC
rnacentral:rRNA from 2 species